AACGAACGCUGGCGGCAGGCCUAACACAUGCAAGUCGAACGAAGCCUUCGGGUUUAGUGGCGAACGGGUUAGUAACGCGUGGGAACGUGCCCUUCACUACGGAAUAGUCCUGGGAAACUGGGUUUAAUACCGUAUACGCCCUUCGGGGGAAAGAAUUUCGGUGAAGGAUCGGCCCGCGUUGGAUUAGGUAGUUGGUGGGGUAAUGGCCUACCAAGCCUACGAUCCAUAGCUGGUUUGAGAGGAUGAUCAGCAACACUGGGACUGAGACACGGCCCAGACUCCUACGGGAGGCAGCAGUGGGGAAUCUUAGACAAUGGGCGCAAGCCUGAUCUAGCCAUGCCGCGUGAUUGAUGAAGGCCUUAGGGUUGUAAAGAUCUUUCAGCUGGGAAGAUAAUGACGGUACCAGCAGAAGAAGCCCCGGCUAACUCCGUGCCAGCCGCCGCGGUAAGAC
rnacentral:rRNA from 1 species